GUAGGGAAUCUUCCACAAUGGACGAAAGUCUGAUGGAGCAACGCCGCGUGAGUGAAGAAGGUUUUCGGAUCGUAAAACUCUGUUGUUAGAGAAGAACGUACUUGGUAGUAACUGGCCAGGUAGUGACGGUAUCUAACCAGAAAGCCACGGCUAACUACGUGCCAGCAGCCGCGGUAAUACGUAGGUGGCAAGCGUUAUCCGGAUUUAUUGGGCGUAAAGCGAGUGCAGGCGGUUUUUUAAGUCUGAUGUGAAAGCCUUCGGCUUAACCGAAGAAAUGCAUUGGAAACUGGGGAACUUGAGUGCAGAAGAGGAGAGUGGAACUCCAUGUGUAGCGGUGAAAUGCGUAGAUAUAUGGAAGAACACCAGUGGCGAAGGCGGCUCUCUGGUCUGUAACUGACGCUGAGGCUCGAAAGCGUGGGUAGCAAACAGGAUUAGAAACCCUAGUAGUCC
rnacentral:rRNA from 1 species